rnacentral:rRNA from 1 species
UGGGGAAUUUUGGACAAUGGGCGAAAGCCUGAUCCAGCAAUGCCGCGUGUGUGAAGAAGGCCUUCGGGUUGUAAAGCACUUUUGUCCGGAAAGAAAUCCUUGGCUCUAAUACAGCCGGGGGAUGACGGUACCGGAAGAAUAAGCACCGGCUAACUACGUGCCAGCAGCCGCGGUAAUACGUAGGGUGCAAGCGUUAAUCGGAAUUACUGGGCGUAAAGCGUGCGCAGGCGGUUUGCUAAGACCGAUGUGAAAUCCCCGGGCUCAACCUGGGAACUGCAUUGGUGACUGGCAGGCUAGAGUAUGGCAGAGGGGGGUAGAAUUCCACGUGUAGCAGUGAAAUGCGUAGAGAUGUGGAGGAAUACCGAUGGCGAAGGCAGCCCCCUGGGCCAAAUACUGACGCUCAUGCACGAAAGCGUGGGGAGCAAACAGGAUUAGAUACCCUGGUAGUCCACGCCCUAAAACGAUGUCAACUAGUUGUUGGGGAUUCAUUUCCUUAGUAACGUAGCUAACGCGUGAAGUUGACCGCCUGGGGAGUACGGUCGCAAGAUUAAAACUGAAAGGAAUUGAC